rnacentral:rRNA from 1 species
GGAGGAUCCGAGCGUUAUCCGGAUUUAUUGGGUUUAAAGGGAGCGUAGAUGGAUGUUUAAGUCAGUUGUGAAAGUUUGCGGCUCAACCGUAAAAUUGCAGUUGAUACUGGAUGUCUUGAGUGCAGUUGAGGCAGGCGGAAUUCGUGGUGUAGCGGUGAAAUGCUUAGAUAUCACGAAGAACUCCGAUUGCGAAGGCAGCCUGCUAAGCUGCAACUGACAUUGAGGCUCGAAAGUGUGGGUAUCAAACAGGAUUAGAUACCCUGGUAGUCCACACGGUAAACGAUGAAUACUAGGUGUUGGAGGAUUGACCCCUUCAGUGCCGCAGUUAACACAAUAAGUAAUCCACCUGGGGAGUACGACCGCAAGGUUGAAACUCAAAGGAAUUGACGG